rnacentral:rRNA from 1 species
CCUACGGGAGGCAGCAGUGAGGAAUAUUGGUCAAUGGCCGAGAGGCUGAACCAGCCAAGUCGCGUGAGGGAAGAAUGUCCUAUGGAUUGUAAACCUCUUUUGUCAGGGAGCAAAGUCACCCACGUGUGGGUGUUGGAGAGUACCUGAAGAAAAAGCAUCGGCUGACUCCGUGCCAGCAGCCGCGGUAAUACGGAGGAUGCGAGCGUUAUCCGGAUUUAUUGGGUUUAAAGGGUGCGUAGGCGGGUUAUCAAGUCAGCGGUAAAAUCGUGGAGCUCAACUCCAUCCAGCCGUUGAAACUGAUGAUCGUGAGUGGGCGAGAAGUAUGCGGAAUGCGUGGUGUAGCGGUGAAAGGCAUAGAUAUCACGCAGAACUACGAUUGCGAAGGCAGCAUACCGGCGCCCGACUGACGCUGAAGCACGAAAGCGUGGGUAUCGAACAGGAUUAGAUACCCCGGUAGUC